rnacentral:lncRNA from 1 species
UCCAGAUCCUUCAGAUGGAGAACAGGGAUAAUGUGACAUUCAAGGUUCAAUGCAGCAGGCACCUUUCCACCCUGAAUGUCACAGAUAAGGGGAAGGCAGAAAAACUGAGUAGUCCCCAAACCCACACAGCCCCUGGUUUGGAAGCAAAGGAGAUGAACCAGACGCCCUCAUUUGGACUGUAUUUAAAAAUCCUGAAAUGUCAAAUGAAAUUUAAAAAGUAAUAGAUAGAGUGACCUUUGUAAAAUAUUUAGACAGCAGAGACAUUGUUCUUAAUUCUAGCAUCUGCAAAUGAGGGUGUUUUUACUGAAUUAAAAACAUAUUCUGGGGGGCUGGAGAGAUGGCUCAGUGGUUAAGAGCCCCGACUGCUCUUCCAGAGGUCCUGAGUUCAAAUCCCAGCAACCACAUGGUGGCUCACAACCAUCUGUAAUGGGAUCUGAUGCCCUCUUCUGGUGUGUCUGAAGACAGCUACAGUGUACUCAUAUAUAAUAAAUAAGUAAAUCUUUUU